CUUGGCACUAGUGGAAUUCUUUGUUCAGGAAACAGUGCAUGGAGCCAUUGAGUCAAAGAAUUCCCCAGUACCAAGCA
rnacentral:pre_miRNA from 1 species